GAGGAGCGUCACAGAAAACAGGCCCAAGCCCAGCAGACAACCGCCCGGCAUCACACUUAUGCCGCCCAACGGUUUGCCCAUAGUCGCGCCACCGCCCGGCGGUUUGCCCAUUGUCGCAAAACCGCCCAGCGUCGUGCCUGGGUGUCAGACAGUGGCUUCUCUUCGCAUUUGGCCGCCCAACGAUGGAUUUUGGCACUGGGCGGUUCCUAGACUCUUCUUUU
rnacentral:lncRNA from 1 species